rnacentral:tRNA from 1 species
GGCAGCAUGGUCUAGUGGAUAGAGCACGGGCUGGAAAUCUGAAGGACCUGGGUUCUAAUCCCAGUUCUGCCA